UACAGAGGGGGCUAGCGUUGUUCGGAAUUACUGGGCGUAAAGGGCGCGUAGGUGGCCUGUUAAGUCGAACGUGAAAUCCUCGGGCUCAACCCGGGAACUGCGUCCGAGACUGGCAGGCUCGAAUCCGGGAGAGGGAUGUGGAAUUCCAGGUGUAGCGGUGAAAUGCGUAGAUAUCCGAAGGAACAUCAGUGGCGAAAGCGGCUUCCUGGACCAGAACUGACGAUCAGGCACGAAAGCGUGGGGAGCAAACAGG
rnacentral:rRNA from 1 species